AACAAAUUAAUAUGGUGUUCAAUUUGACGGGACAUAUUAUAUGGUAGCAGGGGUUGGUCGAUAUUAAUACAAGAUGUAUAACAUGGAUGAAAUCGUAGAAUAAACAAUCAAAAUAUAAUUAUACGGGAAUAUAACUAAAAAAAAAAAAAGUUUAUACAACUAUACGGGAAAUGGUUAUACGGUAGGACAGGUUUUGGUCUAUAUUAAUAUGAGACUGUAUACAGUGGGUGAAAUUCUAGAAUUAACAAUCAAAAUACAAUUUACAAAAACAAACAAACAAUAUUAAUAAAACAAUUACAACUUAAAUUUUGUCAUACAAAAAUUAACUCGCGGUGUACAACGGAUCAUAUCCAUAUCUACAUAUACAUUUUAGGUAGUUAUAAUACUUUUACUUUUAACCAAAAAAGUAUUAUAUAACAAACACAUAAUUAUGUACCAUAAAAUACACACUCCAUAUAAAUGAUGUGUAUAAUAAACAGAUUUUUCUUAACCAAACAACAUCAAACCAAACAAAUACUAAUAUAACAUCAAAAGUAAAUAGAUAUAAAAUGUAAAAUGAUAAAUUCAAAAUAUUACUUGAUAUUAAAUAUAGAUAAUAUUAAAUUAAAAAUAAAAUUUAAUAUCUAACGCAAAUAAUCAACCCGCAGUGUCAAUAUCUAGUGUUUUAUAUUUUACUAAUAUCAUGUAUGUAUAUUAUUUUCAAAUUAUCUGUACUAUAGGUAAAUUAUAUAUAUCUAUAAAUUAAUUCUUAUUCAAUAAAUAUUUUAUCUAAAAUAAAUGAUUAAACCGUAUUAUUUGCUCCAAUUUUACCAUUCAUACAUAUUUUGGACCACCAAUUCUGCUUGAUACGCUUUUGUUCCGCUACAACCGCUAGAUCCGCUCUGCUCGAUACGCUCUCUCCAUUUGAAGCCUAAAAGACAAAAAAUAAAUAUACAUGUAAUUAGUCCACUUUUAAUUUUAUUUUGUUGAUUGGUUAGUCAAAGACAGUUCAUCUGUCCCACACUUUGUACUGCCAAAGUGUGGACUAACUAUACAAGUAAACAUUUACACACAAAGAAAGAUUAACUAUAUUUGUAAUAUAUACAACAGCAAAAUUUAUAAAUUAAUUAAAGCAUGAAUCCAGUGCGAAUCUUGGGUACAGACCUAGUCUAAAGGUAAAGGAUAGCACUCUAAUAAAAAUAUUCGUUUUUCUAAUAAGUUUAGCCGGUGAAUUUAGGGACAACUUUUUAUGUAAACCAUAAACAUAAACUAAUUUGGAAGGAACCCAAAUUAAAAGUUUGUAAAAGCUAAGUUUGGAGAAAAUAUAUAAUCAAAGUAUAGUAGUCAAAGUUAAAAAUAUUAUUUUCUAAAGCAAACAUUAUUAACUAGAAAUAAUGUUGUUAAUUUAAAAUUACUUAAACGAGGAAAAACACUAAUUUAAAGCUUCUUUUUCUAAAGCUUCUUUUUCUAAAACUAACAAUAACAUUUUAAGUAGAACUAUAUAAAUUUAUUUUUUUUCUCGUAUAGAAAAUAGAAGAAAGUGGUUGAAACUGUUGUUUUAAGCCUGUAACACAUUAAUAUGCAUGAAUAUAGAAGAAUUGAUUUCUUUGGAUUAAAAAUUUACGUGAAAUAGAUGAAUUAAAAUCCCAAGAAAAAACUUUUUUUUUAAUAUGCAACACUUUACAAAUAUUCAUUGCACAAAUGUAACAUCACAUUUCCUAGGCUUUGAAUGUUGCGUCAGAUAUUUGACAGUUCAAAGUGUGGGACAAAUGAACUGUCUUUGACUUACCAAUCGACAAAAUAAAAUAAAAAGUGGACUAACUACAUGCAAGGGCGGAUCUAGGUUGGAGGGAGGUGGGGCAUGUGCCCUACACUACUUUAUAGAUUUUCGUUCGUGAAGACAUCUUAUAAGAAUGAUUUAGCACAAAUGGUUUAGUGCUUCUACUAUUACUUCUUCCUUACCCAGGUUUGAGACUUGUCAAAGGCAUAUUCUCCUUCUAAUUACCUUCAUUUUCUUCCACCAGAAACAUUAUUGUAAUUUUUUUUUUCAUUUAACUUUUGAACAGUCACUUUAAAAUUUCGUUUAAAUUACUUUAAUAAUUACUUAAAAUAUGUCUGCUUAUAUAUUUUUAAUAAGUUUGAUAUAUAUGAAAAUGAAUAACAAAAUAAUAUAUAUAUACCUUCAUACAUAUUUUUGGGCAUCUAUAUGUGAGAUAUAAAUAAUAAGUAUUAAGAUAAACAUUUUUUGUGUUAAAAUACUACAUAUUUUAUCACAAAUUUAUAUUUUAAUAAUGACUAAUAUAUAUAAUAAUUUGGAUAAAUAUAUAUGUAUAAGUAAAUGAAUAGUGCCCUACACUAAAUAUUUCUCUAGAUCCGCCACUGACUACAUGCAGAUUUAUUUUUUGUCUUUUAGGCUUCAAAUGGAGAGAGGGUAUCGAGUAGAGCAGAUCAAGCGGUCCUGGUGAAUCGAGUGGAGCAGAUCAAGCGGUCCUGGUGAAUCAAGUAGAAUAAAUGAUGAUUAAGCGGUUCUAGCGGAACAAAAGUGUAUCAAGCAGAAUUGGUGGUCCAAAAUAUAUAUGAAUGGUAAAAGCGGAUCAAAUAAUGCGGAUCAAUCAUUUAUUUUAGCUAAAAUAUUUACUAAAUAAUAAUUAAUUUCCAAAUCUAUAUAUUUACCUAUAAUACUAGUAAUUUGAAAAUAAUAUACAUAAAUGAUAUUAGUAAAAUUAUUAACGUUGUGUUUCACAACUGAAUACUCAAAUAUUAUAUAUAUAUAUAUAUCAAUUAGGGUGUUGUUCGUUUGAUCAGUUGACUGAUCCAUCUAGUUGCAGAUGACAACUGAUGUUCGUUUGGACACAAUAUAAUGGAAUAGUUGGACGCAUCAGUUGGCUGAGUUUAUAAAAUUCAUCCAAAAAAAAUCAAAAUAUUCAGCUGACUUUGAUCGGUGCAUCCAGAUGCAUCAGCUGCAGUCAAAAACAGGAAAUGACUAAAAUACCCCUUUAAAAUUUGAAGAAUUACCCAAAACCAUUCCUUAUCAUCUGACGAUUCUCGACAUCUCUUGACAAAGAAGAGAAAUAGAUUUUUAGAGUUCUUCACUUCCCAUUUUCUCUUGGAUCUCUUGUUCUCGAUUUCAGAAAAGUGAAGAGUAAAAUCAAAAAUCGAAAACUCCAACCUCUACUUAGACAAUUUUUCUUUCUGGGUCAAGCUUCUAUUCAACUCAAGGCUUUCUCUACUAGUCAUCUCGAUCUCUCUUUAUACUCUGUUUCUUUUGCUCGAAUCUAAAAUAAUUUUUGUAGAUUUGCAAGUUUGUUGUAUCUUUAUUGCUCGUUUAUUCAAUUGGGUUUUCUUAAUUUGCUGUGAAAAAAAAACCCAAAGAUUUUGGAUUUCUUCUUCCUAGCCUUGGUUUAUUCAUUAGCUGAGAUUUAACGAUUAUGGGUUUAUUCAUGUUUUAUGUUUUGCAGAUGUACAAAAGUUUUACCAUCAGUGUGACCCUCGUGAGUUAUUUCGUAAACCCAUUUUAAGUCUUGUAUGUAGCUUUCAAGAGGUAUUUUUUCUUUGGGUAAAGUUAAGAUUUAUCACUACAGGAGUUACUUUCGAGUCAGAAUUAGGGUAGAUUGUGAUUGAAGUUGCAUUUUUUGCUUGAUGAGUUUGUUCACUGAUUCUUUUUGUUCCCAGCUUUUUUUUCUUCUAAUUUCUGUGAUCGAUUGUUUUAGUUAUCUUCUUCUUGAUUAGAUCCAGUAUGCAAUAGAUUUGUUGUUAUGAUUCUUUUUCUAGUUGUCUCCUCUAUUAGGAGUUUUAUCUCUAUUAGGAGUAUUUUGGUUUUAUGAUUUUUUUCACAAACUCUCCGCUAGAGAGAGCCAUAUUCAGGAACCGAUGUGCUUACAUGGGAAAAAGGCUAUUUCGAGCCCGAGCUUUUUUAGCUAAACAAUCAGCUCGAGUAUUAGAACUACGAGGAAGAAAUCUAAUACAGAAAGAAGGGAAAAAACAAACUAAAGAUCGAUAGGAUGCCAAUUCCGCUGCAAAAGUCGGCUAAUCGUCUUGAUUGUCAUUGAUAGAAAUCAGGUCUGAAUAGUCGGAAGCAAAAGCGCAAGAAGUAUCGCCAAUAGAGAUCAUGCAUUCUAUUGUCCAUAGCAAGGAAUCAAAUUCUGCAUGAAGCGGUGAUAAGCUUCGCCGAGCACUUUUGAGGCCAAGAUGAAGAACUAAGUCUUCUCGAACAAGGGCCGAUCCAUGUCCGCUUAACGGGUCUUCUGCAUGCCAAGAGGCAUCAAUUUAACAUUCAGGAAACAAGGAGAGCGAAAUCUGAGAAAUAUAUCUAGGAAAGGAGUUAAGCAUAUGGGUACAUCUUCUUUUAGGGUUGCUUGUUUCCAAACAGCUGCCUCCUUGAGUGCCAAAGCCAAAGUUUCAAGGGGAGGUUCUCUAAAGUUCUCAAACACAAAACGAUUUCUACUUUUUUAGAUAUACCAAAUUAUCCAUGGAAAUACUUUCAACACCUCCUUUCCGAUUCCAAAUUCAUGGCCACGCCAGAAAAAGAAGUCGAAAUUAUAGAAGAGGGAAUUUCUAGGGAAAAUAUUCCCUGAAGAAGGAAUAGGCGAUGAUGCCCAAAUCUGUCGCGAAGGUGGACAAUGAAAGAGAAGAUGGUUAAUUGUCUCUUCAGCUUCUCCGCAACGGGGGCAUCCUUUAUCCGUACCCAUAUGGCGAUAUGUCAAUCUUUGGCAAGUGGCUAGACAGUCCGAGAUACAUUGCUACGCGAAAUGCAUAAGCUUCAGCGUAGAUUUAAGCUUCCAUACUUGUGCCUGAAGUGCCGAAACACCUGCUCCCUGAAAAGGGGGGUCACAAGUAGGACGAGAUAGAUCUCUCGCGGCCCAAUAUCCUGACUUAACGGUAUGAUUACCAAAUUUAGUGUGAGACCAGCUAAAGCCAUCACUCAAGUAGGUACGGCUUGGGCGAAUCCCUAAAAUGAGUGGAAUAUCAACGAGAUCAACCAAUGCUUGAAGACGGUCUAAUUUCCACAUCUUUGUAUUUUGGUCGAUUAAAUCAUUGACAUAGAGUAGGGGAUCUCUUAUGUCAAGAAUGCUUUUUGUCGGCCGCGCAGGGAUAGUGGGAAUCCAUGGAUCUUUCCAUACGCGAGUCAGCAUUCCAGAACCUAUGGUCCUCCGAAGUCCCGAGACAAGAAGGGGUUUGGUGCCAUGAUACUUCUCCAUCCAAAAGACGGACGAUUUGAUGCGCUGAUAUGUAAUGGAUCACUAUAUCGAAAAUAUCUCCCCCUCAAGACCCUACUCAAAAGAGAGUUUGGGAAUCGGAUAAGACGCCAUAGUUGUUUUGCCAAAAGAGCUAGAUUAAACUCUUCCAGUGAUCUAAAACCUAGUCCACCUUCAGAGUGUGGGUUGCAAAGCUUAUCCCAUGCAAUCCAGUGGAUACCAUUACUAUUCUCAUUAGUUUUUCACCAGAAAUUUGCAAUAGCACUACUCAACUUUGAGCGAAUAGCCUUAGAGAGUAAAAAACACGAUAUAACAUAUGUCGGAAGGGCUUGUGCUACUGACUUUAUAAGAACCUCUUUGCCUCCUUUGGACAAGAAUUUGGCUGACCAGGUAUUAAGUCUCUUUUGGAGUCUAUCCCUCACAAAGGAGAAAACUUGGGUUUUAGAGCCAUGAAUUUUCUCAAGUAAACCCAAGUAAGAUCCCAUGCCCCCAUCCCGGUGGAUACCCAAGGUUGAUUUUAUGGUACUCUGGGUCGUAUUGUCCACAUCAUGACCAAACAUUACAGACGACUUAGCAGCAUUUAACUGUUGUCCUGAUGCCUCACCAUAAAUGCGGAGAAUAUUGAUGAUCUCUUGACCUUGAGCUGGGUCAGCUCGACAAAAAAAUAAGAUGUCAUCUGCAAACAAGAGAUGCGAGGUGGAAGGACUUGCGCGUGAGAUUUGAAGACCUUGGAUCCUGCCAUUCCAUUCAGCUUCUUUGAGUUUCGCUACCAAAGCUUUCGUACACAAAAUAAAGAGGAACGGGGAAAUAUGAUCGCCUUGUCUAAUUCCCCUUGAUGGUUUGAUGAAACCUCUUGGAGCUCCAUUUAAGAGUACUUUAUAUGAGACAUAUGAGAUGCAAAAGAUUAUCAAGUCCACCCAUUUCUGAGUGAAACCCAUUUUCAACAUGAGAGCUCGUAGAAAAGACCAUUCCACACGAUAGUAAGCUUUACUCAUAUCAGUCUUUAUAGCCAUGAACUUUUUCCUACAAGCCAGUUUGUUCGGAGGGCAUGAAAAUUUUCCUGAGCUAUAAGAAUAUUAUCUGUGAUAAGUCUCCCAGCCACAAAGGCAGACUGAGUCUCAGUUUUAACUCCAGAAGAAUCUUUUUCAGACGAGAGCUGAGAACUUUUGAAAUUACUUUAUAACUAACAUUACAUAGGCUGAUUGGCCAGAAUUCCGCCAUCUUCCUUGGUCGAUCUGUUUUUGGAAUCAUG
rnacentral:sRNA from 1 species